rnacentral:rRNA from 1 species
CAAGUCGAACGCGAAAGCCCCGCAAGGGGCAAGUAGAGUGGCAAACGGGUGAGUAACACGUGGGUGACCUGCCUUCGAGCGGGGGAUAACGUCCCGAAAGGGACGCUAAUACCGCAUGACAUCCUGCCUUUGAAGAGGUGGAGAUCAAAGCCGGGGAUCGCAAGACCUGGCACUCGAAGAGGGGCCCGCGCCUGAUUAGCUAGUUGGUGGGGUAACGGCUCACCAAGGCGACGAUCAGUAGCCGGCCUGAGAGGGCGGACGGCCACACUGGGACUGAGACACGGCCCAGACUCCUACGGGAGGCAGCAGUGGGGAAUUGUUCGCAAUGGGCGCAAGCCUGACGACGCAACGCCGCGUGGAGGACGAAGACCUUCGGGUCGUAAACUCCUUUCGAUCGAGACGAAUGGCCCCUGGGCUAAUCACCAGGGGAGUGACGGUACCGAGAGAAGAAGCCCCGGCUAACUCCGUGCCAGCAGCCGCGGUAAUACGGGGGGGGCAAGCGUUGUUCGGAAUUACUGGGCGUAAAGGGCUCGUAGGUGGCCAACUAAGUCAGACGUGAAAUCCCUCGGCUUAACCGGGGAACUGCGUCUGAUACUGGAUGGCUUGAGUUUGGGAGAGGGAUGCGGAAUUCCAGGUGUAGCGGUGAAAUGCGUAGAUAUCUGGAGGAACACCGGUGGCGAAGGCGGCAUCCUGGACCAACACUGACACUGAUGAGCGAAAGCCAGGGGAGCAAACGGGAUUAGAUACCCCCGGUAGUCCUGGCCCUAAACGAUGAAUGCUUGGUGUGGAGGGUAUCNAUCCCUGC